CGGCGCGGGGCUCCCCGGGGCCUCUGCCCUCCGCGGCUGCGGGUCUGGCCGGGGCGGCGGAGAAGCCGCCGGGUCGCUUUGCAACUCGCCUGCCGCUUCGUGACUGUCACACCCCCAUCGAAUGGUGCUGCACCAUUAACAGUCCGUGGUGUGGUCGAAGAGGACAAAGAGACCUGGCUGAGAAGAGAUCAGGAGUUGCCUACACCAGGCUGAACAGGAGAUGCAAAGGGUAUGUUUAUAGACCUUCAGAGAGAAAGCAUCUGGAAAUAGUAACUUAAGGGUCAUUCCUCCAGGUAAGCCACAAACCAAUCAAGUCACCUUGGGGAAUGAAAUAUUCAGUGGUGAAAAGAAAUGCCAUUCAUGAAACAAGAAAGUUACUGCAGUAUGAAAAGACUGUGAAUUUGUGAGAAAAAAAGGUAAAUACAGUAUGAGUGAGACAAAUUCAUGGCAGAUAAUCAGCUGCUGAGCAGAGAUUUUAAGAUGUCUCUAGUUUUUUAAAAAUACAUCCCAAAUCUUGGCAAAUUAAGGUACAGUAGCAAAAACGUAUACACAGCUUGCAUGAGUAAAAUUGUGCCCAGGUCAGCAAACAUGACACAGCAAGUUAAACCCCAUGGCUUUUGA
rnacentral:lncRNA from 1 species